rnacentral:lncRNA from 1 species
CAUAGAGGAAGGAUGAUUGGAAGCAAAUCCCUCUGGACAGCUGCCGUCUCAAACCUGAUGCACGUUAGCUUUGAUGAUGGAGGCAAAGUACAUCAUCAUCACUGGCUAAGACACCGAGGAGAGUCAAAGAUUAGAGGGGAAAAAUCCUGCCUAGUCAAGGUUGUGUUGAAACAUGAGUUUUCACCAUUCACAGAGAUCAGCAAGGACUCAUAACUGUGGGGCUUUUUCUUUAAAAUCAAUUAUGUGGCCAGCAGCACACUCUCAUUUUCUAUGUGGGCAAGCACAUCUUUUUAUUUAGUGUUUUCCAUUUUACCUGGUUUCUACCCUGCAGCAAAUACCGUGGAAUGUGCAGGCUGUCCUUUCCCCCAGCUAGUUCCUACUGUGGAGUCAGCGUGGUCAUCAUUUUAGGAAAGAGGGAAAUGAAUACUACUUAGCAUGUGUAUUACUUCAUAUUUAAUUAUCCCUUCUAUGAGUGGCUUUCUAAGCAAACAGAAUAAACUUAAUUAUCAAGUGCACUUACUUGGGUAACAAACAUUAUCUGAACACUUCCCGGGGAGAAACACUGUCUUAGGAAAACAUGGUACUGGGUUUAUAGACUCUUCAGCAUUGUGGGGUAUAAAUAAUGAAGCAAAGCCACACAGUCAUUUGGAACUUGAGAAGCCUCAGAAAAUAUUCAAAACAAUUCUGGAGAAAUCACUGUCUUCUUUCUGACUGGAAGAAAGAACUGAUGUUGUAACAACAGGGGUGGCAAAGAAUGGUCUUGAGCCUGAGAGAAUACUGAUGGUAUUUAGAGAGAGGACAAGCAGAAGGAAUCGUGGGUUAGAGCAUAUCCUUCCGGAUGUCCUUUCAGACAGCCUAACUCUGAUUUGCUCAUGAAACAUUCUGGGAUUUCUGUCCAGCCUGCAAAGCAAAGUGAGAGCUCAAGAAAAA